GGAGGAAAAGAAACCAACAGGGAUUGCCUCAGUAACGGCGAGUGAAGCGGCAAAAGCUCAAAUUUGGAAUCUCAGUCUUUCAGGCUGCGAGUUGUAAUUUGAAGACGUAUUUUGAAGUAAGCACAUGUCGAAGUUCCUUGGAACAGGACGUCACAGAGGGUGAGAAUCCCGUGCGAUGUGUUCACUGCUUCAUGUAAAAUGCAGUCGAAGAGUCGAGUUGUUUGGGAAUGCAGCUCUAAGUGGGUGGUAAAUUCCAUCUAAAGCUAAAUAUUGGCGAGAGACCGAUAGCGAACAAGUACAGUGAUGGAAAGAUGAAAAGAACUUUGAAAAGAGAGUGAAAAAGUACGUGAAAUUGUUGAAAGGGAAGGGCUUGAGAUCAGACUCGGGCAACCGGGCCAGCAUGGGGUGGGGGAGUAGGAUAACCCUGCAGGAAAGUGGCUUCGCUUCGGUGGAGUGUUAUAGCCUGUAGCUAUACUGCUACCCUCGCCCGAGGACUGCGGAAACAAGGAUGCUGGCAUAAUGAUCUUAAGCCGCCCGUCU
rnacentral:rRNA from 1 species